AUUGAACGCUGGCGGCAGGCCUAACACAUGCAAGUCGAGCGGAGCGGCGGACGGGUGAGUAAUGCCUAGGAAUCUGCCUGGUAGUGAUGGAGAAAGUUCGGAAACGGGCGCUAAUACCGCAUACUAUUGGAUGAGGCUAGGUCGGAUUAGGUAGUUGGUGGGGUAAAGGCAUACCAAGGCGACGAUCCGUAACUGGUCUGAGAGGAUGAUCAGUCACACUGGAACUGAGACACGGUCCAGACUCCUACGGGAGGCAGCAGUGGGGAAUAUUGGACAAUGGGCGAAAGCCUGAUCCAGCCAUGCCGCGUGUGUGAAGAAGGUCUUCGGAUUGUAAAGCACUUUAAGUUGGGAGGCGUUACCAACAGAAUAAGCACCGGCUAACUUCGUGCCAGCAGCCGCGGUAAUUC
rnacentral:rRNA from 1 species